GAGAGAAUAGGUGCAGUACA
rnacentral:piRNA from 1 species